rnacentral:tRNA from 2 species
GUGACCGUAGCUCAGUUGGUAGAGCCCCGGACUGUGACUCCGGUUGUCGUGGGUUCGAGCCCCAUCGGUCACCCCA